rnacentral:rRNA from 1 species
CCUACGGGAUGCAGCAGUGAGGAAUAUUGGUCAAUGGACGAGAGUCUGAACCAGCCAAGUAGCGUGAAGGAUGACUGCCCUAUGGGUUGUAAACUUCUUUUAUAUGGGAAUAAAAUGUUCCACGUGUGGGAUUUUGUAUGUACCAUAUGAAUAAGGAUCGGCUAACUCCGUGCCAGCAGCCGCGGUAAUACGGAGGAUCCGAGCGUUAUCCGGAUUUAUUGGGUUUAAAGGGAGCGUAGGUGGAUUGUUAAGUCAGUUGUGAAAGUUUGCGGCUCAACCGUAAAAUUGCAGUUGAAACUGGCAGUCGUGAGUACAGUAGAGGUGGGCGGAAUUCGUGGUGUAGCGGUGAAAUGCGUAGAUAUCACGAAGAACUCCGAUUGCGAAGGCAGCUCACUGGACUGCAACUGACACUGAGGCUCGAAAGUGUGGGUAUCAAACAGGAUUAGAUACCCUUGUAGUC